rnacentral:tRNA from 1 species
GGAGGCGUCGCAUAGUGGCCUAGUGCGCCCGCCUGCUAAGCGGGUUGGGGUUGAUUACCCCUCGCGGGUUCAAAUCCCGCCGCCUCCGCCA